GAUGCUAUAUGGUUAGACAUCUACUGAUGGAUGUCACUGACAACAUUUACUGAUGAAUGCCACUGGGAUAACAUCUACUAAGGGAUGCUAGAAGAUUUAGAUAUCUACUGAAGGAUACAGGAAGGUACACCUACUGAUGGGUGACGGUAAGGUUGACACCUACUGAUGGGUGCUAGAAAGUUUUGGGUCAGGCUCGUGACGUUAGACAAGC
rnacentral:lncRNA from 1 species